rnacentral:rRNA from 1 species
CCUACGGGAGGCAGCAGUGAGGAAUAUUGGUCAAUGGACGAGAGUCUGAACCAGCCAAGUAGCGUGAAGGAUGACUGCCCUAUGGGUUGUAAACUUCUUUUAUAUGGGAAUAAAAUGUUCCACGUGUGGGAUUUUGUAUGUACCCUAUGAAUAAGGAUCGGCUAACUCCGUGCCAGCAGCCGCGGUAAUACGGAGGCUCCGAGCGUUAUCCGGAUUUAUUGGGUUUAAAGGGAGCGUAGGUGGAUUGUUAAGUCAGUUGUGAAAGGUUGCGGCUCAACCGUAAAAUUGCAGUUGAAACUGGCAGUCUUGAGUACAGGAGAGGGAGGCGGAAUUCGGGGUGUAGCGGUGAAAUGCUUAGAUAUCACGAAGAACUCCGAUUGCGAAGGUAGCUCACUGGACUGUAACUGACACUGAGGCUCGAAAGUGUGGGUAUCAAACAGGAUUAGAUACCCCUGUAGUC